UACGUAGGGGGCAAGCGUUGUCCGGAUUUAUUGGGCGUAAAGAGCGUGUAGGCGGCCGCACAGGUCCGUUGUGAAAACUGGAGGCUUAACCUUCAGACGUCGAUGGAAACCGUGCGGCUAGAGUCCGGAAGAGGAGAAUGGAAUUCCUGGUGUAGCGGUGAAAUGCGCAGAUAUCAGGAAGAACACCCGUGGCUAAGGCGGUUCUCUAGUACGGUACUGACGCUGAGACGCGAAAGCGUGGGGAGCAAAC
rnacentral:rRNA from 1 species